GACGUAGGGCGCGAGCGUUGUCCGGAUUUAUUGGGCGUAAAGAGCUCGUAGGCGGCUUGUCGCGUCGACUGUGAAAUCCCGCGGCUCAACCGCGGGUCUGCAGUCGAUACGGGCAGGCUAGAGUUCGGUAGGGGAGACUGGAAUUCCUGGUGUAGCGGUGAAAUGCGCAGAUAUCAGGAGGAACACCGGUGGCGAAGGCGGUUCUCUGGGCAUGUCCUGACGCUGAGGAGCGAAAGUGUGGGGAGCGAACAGG
rnacentral:rRNA from 1 species